rnacentral:lncRNA from 1 species
GUGAGAGAGAGAGACAGAGAGAGGUAUUUCAAGCAGCUGCGGAACGUGGGUCCCACGGAAGGUGACCGUGUGGGUACAUUAGUCCGGAGUCCUUCCAGAAACUCCAUAAAAAGCGUCGUCAUUGAGAAUUAUGGGACUAAUUAUAUAUUAUCAUUUGUAAUUAGUUAAUCUUAAUAUUUUAAUUUUUAUAUUAUUAAAAAUUAUAUUUUUUUUUUUACUCUAAAAUAUAUAAUCAUAUUUUUUUUCUCAUAUUAUCGAUUUUAUUGAUGAAAAUACUACACGUCUUCAGUGAUAAACUCUACAUUAUUUUUAUCGAUAAAAUUAACGAUUCAUAAAUAUAUGGAUCCUAAUAUAAUUUUUAAAAAUAUAAAAAUUAAGAUACUAAAUAUAACUAAUUAUAAGAAUAAUAUAUAAUUAACCUAAAUUUAUUUGUACGAUCGAUGAUAAAACAAAAUAGCAAGAGAUUUAAGCCUCUUGCAUUUGAACAUCUAAAGAGAUUUUAAAAAAAAUGCUACUAACGUUGUUGUCUUUACAAAUGAACUCUUUAAGAGGUGAUUAAUCAGAGGUUUUCAUGAGACAGUAUAAGUUAAUUUUUGUGGAGAAAUAUUAAAUUCAAAAUAAGAUUAGCCUAUGAUAUAAGAUAAAAAAAAAAGGGAGGUCAAUAUCAUCUCUAUGUGUAGGAACUUUAUAACUUGGAUAUCAGAACUUCCAUAUUGGUAAUGCAAUUUCAUGAGACUAAGGAAGUAAUUCUUCUUUCUUCAAAAUCUUAAUUAGAUUUUAAUCAUCCCUCUCAACUUCCAAAUAUACCCCUUUUCUACUUGUAAAAAAAUAGUGAAUUAAUUAUAUAUUACCUCAUGUAAUUAUCUAUUAUUAGCAUCUCAAACCUUAUAUUUUUAAAGUUACGUUGAGAUAUUUAUAUUUAUGGAAGUGAAACAUUUGAUCUAGUUUCUCAUCAUAUAGCUAAUAAAAAUAUCAUAGGGUUUAUCACUAAGCACGUGUCGACUCUGUCUCACUUAAUUUAUCAUCGAUCACAUAUGGUAUUUUCAUCAAUAGAAUCGAUAACAUAAAGAAGAACAUGAUUAAAUAUUUCACUUUCGUAAGUAUAAGUAGAGAUCAUAAUUUAAUUUUUGAAAGUAUAAAAACUAAAAUAUUAAUUAUAGUUAAUUAAAAAAUAUAUAAUUAACUCAAAAAUAAUCCUUUUUAUGGUUAAUGCUUCAGUUUUGCAUCCAGUCCAAGUUUCACUUGUAAUCUCUUAGUAGAAAUCCCAUUACACCCUUGAUGUAAAGCACCUUCGAACCAAUAUUGACUAAUAUGAAAAUGAGAUAGAUAUAUAUAUAUAUAUAUAUAUAUAUAUAUAUAUAUAUUUGUCAUUUCAUAUUUGUUUUGUUGGCUGUACAGAUGCAGUGUCCUUGCCCUAUGGAUUCAUCUGUCGGAGCAACGCAUGCACUUUAAUUUGGCACAUCCUCUUAAACUUAGCAUUUGCCUUUAGAUGGAACUGCAACACCUCGAAGGCAUCAUCUGCUUGGAGGCAGAAGACAUUCCAUGACCAUGUAAAACAACAGCAUUACGACACUGCUAUAUAUCGAAGUAUGAUGCUGAACAAAGGUGGAACGUAUGCGCCAUUGUUCAUGUGUAGAUCGGGUAAAAGUAUAUCUACCCAUCGUUACUGUAUGUUCAAGCCAUUCAGAGAACUGUUCGAUCGAACUGCCUUCCUUGAGAUGAACUAAAGAAUAAGAACGAGAUGUCGAGAAAGGAUUCACCCUCCCUGACGCACGAGCGGUGACGGCGACCUGAGAGGAGGAGAAAAGGAAUCCGAUAUCCUAAACGAAAGUGAUAUAUCAGAAGAUAUUUCUCUGCAAACAUAGCAAGGCAAAUCAAGCAGGGAAUGGCAUAACGACGGGAGGCUCACAUGAGGGACCAACGAGUGCUUCGUAAUGCGGCAACAUCCGUGAACCUGUCGCUCUCCCUAUGGGUCCCUGCAACGGGGUGUGCUACACGGUGGUACCACCGGAGUUGAUGACGAUGACGACCUUGUCGUCACCCUCGCGUCCAUGGCAGGCAAAGGGCGUUCGGGGACGUGACGAAGGGGAGGAGAUGAUAACUCUGUGGCGGGCCGAUGCUGAUGUGGUCGAUACUAUCAAGCCUUUGGGCGGGUUGCGACUGGCGGUCAACGUGUGGUCAUCGUUCUCAACACCUGCGAAGUCUCACCGAAUAUAUGCGUGUACAAAUUCAAAGCACUCUUUUCACCAAACAUGGAUUAUAGUAUUGCGUUUUCUCUCUCUCUCUCUCUCUCUCUCUCACUCUCACUUAUCCUUUGCCGCUUGCUUGUCUCUGAGUACAUAAAGAGAGAGACGGAGGGCAAACAAUGUAACCCAUGAAGGAAAGCUUUCAUUAGCUUCAGUAGACUUAAAGAGUACAGGCUUCUUGUCCAAUAGUAACAAAGCUAAAGAAGGAGAAAGACAAUUUAGAAAGGAAAUAUUGCAGGUUAAGAUUGCGUAUAACACAGUCCUUUAGCUUGAAGCUGGGACAAGCUGCAGUUAUUUGGCUCCUGCUAAACUGGUUUCGCAGUGACAGUAAGGAAAGUGACUACAGCAGCAGCUUUCUCUCCCAGUAUUGGCCAAGUCGAGUUGCAUACCUACCAAGUCUGCCUUGUCUUCAGUAACGCUUGUUGCAGACUGACUUCAGUUCCGGAUCCAAAGAGGCCAUGUCGAUGCCGAGAUGUUGUUCCUCCCUUUGCGUUAGAACUCCUCCCAUCCUCCUCAUCAUGCUGCCAACCCCAAGAAAGUCUCGAGUUAACCUGUCUGUGGCUCCGAAGCCGCUGAACCCGGUUUCUUGCUGGUUUCCACCACUCAGUAUGCCACUGGUUUCGUUAGUGAGAGAAUUCACGAGAUCUUGGAAAUGGCUCUCGCUCUCUACGCCAUCGAAGACAGUCCGAGAACCUGCAUUCUUUGCAGCGCUAGAAUAUAAGCUGCCGACUCCUCUGAGCGAGGAGCUCGCACUGAUGCAACUGGAUGUUGCACCCAUUUGCGUAGCCUUCUGAAGAAGUGCAGUUGCCGACAUAUGUGGUGGCAUUGAUUCAUUGCUCACCGAGUUGUUGCACAUAGGAGACAUGUUUGCAUCAAGAAGAUUGUUGCCCACGAUAUUUCCUGCAAAGAUUGCGUUUGGCCCGUUGCUUCCACCAGCAGUGUUAAAUGGAUCAGAGACGAGUAGAUGAGCAUUCUGGUUCAUUGCUACGUUGCUGCUGUUGGUGACGGCGCUCCUGUUGCUGCUGUCAGAGAAGAUGCCAAGAUUGGAAAGAUUAGUAGCAGCUGCGGCAGCCGAGGGGGAUGAAGAUUCGGUGUUGGUUUGGAGGUGUUGCAGUUGCAUGAAGCCAUGGAAUGGUUUGCUUUGUAGCAAUUGAGUGUUCUCAUUGAUGUCUUGGCUUGAGCCGCCACCAAGAUAGAACGGGGCAGACUGAGGUGGCGGUGGUGGUCGGAAGGACGGCACCGUGAGGUGAUUGAACUGCAUAGCAUUGCCAUUUCCGCCAAGCCGGAGAAGAUCUGCUGAUGGAUGUGUUUGAUCUUGCAAGGUGGAGAGCUGCGAAUUCAAGUGAGGAAGGCCCAAAUUUAUUCCGGUGUUGCCAUAGAAGUGGCUGCCGAUGGUGUUCAUGCUGGCUGGAACCCUCGCGCUCUCUUGUGCUAAUGCGUCGCAGAAGGCUCUGUGUGUAAUGAAGCUAUCACGCCUGCGUCAAUGACCACAAGAUGAAGCUAUUAGUUGCACUCUUGGAAGAAAGAAGAUGCUAAGCAUGCAUCUCUGUUUCAUACAUCGUGUUGCAAGGCAUCAGAUUAGAACCAUAUAAUAUAUUCGAGAGGGAACUCCUUCCAUGAUUUGAAGCCCUUUCCAUUGCUCCGAAGCCAAGAUUUGUUGCGAUUACCUCAAUCAAUGCACAACUCCUUUACAUUUACUCAUCCUAACAAGAGUAAGUGUCGGUGCACUUCACACCUCGAGUGGUGUCGCACCUCCGGACAAGAAUAAUUCGCUCACAACCAAAGGCGACUCUCAUGAAAUGGUGGAGCUGUGUGCCAUGGCCAUGCCUUGUUGCCCAUGUAUCUCCAAUUCACAACACAACAAAGGAACUUGGUAAGCAUUGCCUCCAGGGCACCACGUGAAUCCAGUGAUGGUAACCCUAACCCUACCUAAGAUUCUUAGAUCGAGAAAUCCCAGUCACCGAAACCGAGAUCGGUGAUGAGUGCAGAGGGGAGUAGCACCACCAACAUGACCAAGAACCUACUGCGGGAUGGAUGCUGAUGUUUCAAUCAUGGAUUGGAGUUGGAUGUCCAAAAUGCAUCGAUCGAUGAGCAUUGGAUGCGAUGAUAGAUGCACGCAGUACCUGGAAAAGAGGGUUCCGCAGUCGCAGCGGUACUCGCGAGUACCGCACGUCUUGGAAUGGGCCUUCCAGUCCGACUGCACGGCGUACCGCUUCGAGCACUUGUCGCACUUCCACUUCUUCUCGCCAUGCUUGCGGCAGUAGUGCUUCUUGAUGCCGGUGAGGUCGCCGAGGGCGCGAGAGGGGUCGUGGUGGGCGCAGGUCGGCUCGGGGCAGACGUACACACGGCGGCGGACGUCCUUGGGGUUCUUCUGCUUCAGCUUCCACGGUAGGUUGUGGCCACGCCGGUGCAGCUGCAGGUUCUGUUCCCGCUGGAACCCCUUGUUGCACACUUCGCAGAUGAAUCUGUUCGUCGCAAGGAGCGUCUUUGGGGAUAAGGCGAUUACCUCAGCGUCAGGAUCUGCGGAUUCAAUCAGAGUCAAUGGAGUCCUUACAAUGAAAUUGUUUGACUCGACAACAUGUGGAAGAAACUGGUUAGGAUAGUUGAUAGUACACAGCAGUAGCAAACUCUGGGGGAAGAAUCCGAAAAGAUUAAGAUCUGUGAAUUAGGAUUUGUUUUUGCAUGCAAGUGUUCGUGAGUUUGGAUACUUGCUUGGGUUUCGAGGGAGGUUCCUCUUUUUCUUCGGAGGAGGAGCUGCUGGUUGAGCAGCAGCAGCAGCAGCUACCGCUGAGCCUGGCUGUGGCUGUUGCUGCUGGGUGACAUGCUUCUCUUCCUCUAUGGAUCCGAACAAAGGUACCGACGACGAAGCCAUUGUCAUUUCCUGAACCAAAGCAACAAAACAGCACUGCGCUUUCUCUCCCACUCGAUGGUCUUCUUGAUCCUCUUACCCUCACUAUCUGUUUCCGUAUGGGAUCACUGAUGCGUCCAAAUUAGAGCCACAGAGAAGCCGUGGCUACCUUUCGAUCCAACUCUUCCUCUUCCAGAUCCAAAACACAGGAAAAGAACCAAAGAAAGGGAGGGAGGAAGAGAGCAAGAACACAAGUCGUAGCACACGAGUGUGGAUCUAUGCACCAACAAGGCAACCCUAAACAAAAGCCUCCAAACUCUUCCUCCUGGCUCUUGCUAUCUCUGCUAAAGAACAAGGAGAGCUGCAAACCCAAACAACCAGUUGCGCUCAAAGCCAAAUGGAACGAAAGAGAAACAGCGCGAGAAGAAAACAAAAGAGCAAAAGUAGUAGAUAACCUCUUCCUCCCCUUCUUCUUGUGCUACUCCAUGGAAGGGAGAUCCACAUAACAAAGGGCUGUCAUGUGACCCUUCUCUUCCUCUCUUCUUCCCUUAUGGACGAUUCUCCUUUUUCUCUUCCACCUUUCCCCUUGUGCAUCUAUUAUUCCUCACCCUCUUCCCACCCCACCGCAAAUAAAGAGAGAGAGAGAGAGAGAGAGAGAGAGACAGAGAGAGAGACUGUUGACGGAGUUCACGUAGACAAGAGUGUCGCUGUGUGGGAAGAGGUCCACAGGACACUUCCUAUCGUUUGGCGUCUGCUCUUCACUGGGCGUGAGGACAAAAGGCAGCCUCUCAUUCCAACCCUGUAAAAGCCAUAUUGGUGAAAACAGCAUUGACUAACACACUCCCUAUCUUACCACAAGUCAAAAUGAGCUUUGAAUUCAACGGAGUCCGGUAAGCAUGUGGCACUUCCACUUCCUCUUCGUCUCAUAAUUUAGGAUUGUUACGAUGGUAAAACAAUUAAAAUUAGACGAAUUCACUGCAUUUAAUGGCAUCACAAAAUUGGUGGUAGAUUAAAUGACACCCAAAACGAUCACAAAAUAAGCCUAAACCGUAGCCUGCAUCCAUCAAUCCUUUCCACCAUCACUUUUUUCAACCGAUAUAUGUCUUUAACCCGAUAAUAAAAAAUAGAUCUUAACAUUAUUUGACAUCUAAAGAGACAAUCAAUACUAAAUUCAAAGCAUUCAAGAAGCGAAUGAAGAAUAAGAUUCAGACUCUCUUUACCAUACUCAGUCUGGGCCCAUCACUAAGAAAUCACAUCACUAAAUUUGAAGCCUUCAAGAUGUAAAUGAAGAAUAAGAUUCAGACUCUCUUUAUCGAACUCAUUUUGGGCUGACCACCAAAUCCGAAUAAAUUACAUCAAUAAGAGAGUUCUGACCGAAGAGAUGACUUCCAAUAAAUGAGAGACUCUAUGACCAAUCCCUACUAUCCAUGUAUGAGGGUAGACUUCUCUAGAUGGGAAGGAGACUCGAGAUCGCAGAACGAUAUUUCGUAUAGUUUUCUAUAAUAAAUCUCGAGAGAGAGACUGAAGUAGGAUUUAUUCACCAUAUGUUUUGUCAUUCUCAUAUGUUUCCUUUUCGACUCUUUGAUUGUAAUAUGUUUUUGAUAAUAAUGAAUAACAACUUCAUUAUUUAUCCUUCCUAAAUAUGUUGUUUAUGCCGAUGUCAUCCGAAAAGAUAUACCAAAAUGAUUGAAUGAUCGACACACAAAACGUCUUAUUCUCUACUUUUUCUCUCUUAUCGGACAAUCUUACCAUCACAAGACGUUAACACGACAAACGCAUAUCCCCAUAAAGCAUUGGAUAAAUUGAUGCAAUGAGAACCUUCGUUGCCUUGAUUUCACAUCAAAGUCAAUGUUUCUUCGUUGUGGGUAAUGAGAGUUGAGCUAUGUAUUUUUAAGCACUCGAGGGAUUCUAUCUAUAUAUGAGAGAGAUCAACCCCUCUUACUAAUCUAUAGAUCGACCUUCUAAGGACUCCUUGUCUUACAUUGAAAACACACUCUCUCUCUCACUCUCCCAUACACAUCUUUUACCUUUGGUUUUAAUUAGUGUGUGUGUGUGUGUGUUCUUCAAACAAGUUCAUAAACAUGAAUCAUGCAGCAAAGGCAGCUAACUAAGGAUCCAAACAGUUAAUCUCAUCUCUUGUUUUUGAUGAUUGCAUCCUCAAGAUGAUGGAAUCAAUCAGCAGUCUUCCAACCCCACACUAAAGUGCCUUUUUCCUGCUCCUGAAAGGUGAGAUGGUGAGGCUCAAAAGACCAUACCUCUUUUCCACCUAAACGUGACAGCACAGUCAACAAAUCCCCAUCCAGUGUUUGUUCUCACUGCUGUCCUCACAGACUUGGCCUCCUCUGUGGAGUUCAUUCUCCUUGUAAGCUUUCGUUUCAGCCAUUGGAGGCACAUGAGAAGUGACCCCCAUCUCUGUCUGAGAGAGAAUCUUUGUCUGUCACAGGACUCACCGAUUAAGUGGCAAACCACAUGCGGGAGAGGUUGCUGCAGGAGCUGCUCAUACACAUCGAAUGAUCGAGGAAAACGCCACCAAAUAUACAACAAAGAUGGACUUUAAAUGGUCUUUCGUUUGUGGUCCUGUGAAGAAAUGAAAAAGAUUUUGCAUUUGUACCAAAAGAAGAACAAUUAAAUACCUUAGAAAUUACAUUUGAGAUAAUUUUAAACUCUUUAGCUUAGUCUUAUUAUAGAAAUUAUAACUGAGGUGGGAGAUGUUGGUGUUGAUAGAAUCGAGAAGGUAUCCGAUGUUUAAUCGAAUAUCAACUUAUAUAAAAAUCGAAGUUAGACGUAGUUCCUCCGAUGCUCAAGUCGAUAACAAAAUAGAGUAGAAGUUUAAGUAAAAACAGUAACUGAUUUUGAUUAAUAUGAUUUGAUGACUCUUUAUAAUUAGUUUAAUAGGAAAAAAAUAUUCAUUGUUACGAAUAAAAUAUCUUAUCAAAAUUUUAUAGUAGAUUGAUGUCUACGAAGAUUAAAUAUUUUGAAUCGCGGGCUCAAAUUCCUUGAAAAGAGAUAAUGGUGUUGUAUCGACGCAAACGAUAAAUUAUUUUUUUAUAAUCAACUACCGCCAUCUUAGUAAAAUAUUGUAAAGAUAUUUUUUUAUUAUUCAAAAAGAAACCUAAUCAAAUCAAAUCAUUUUAUAAGGAUUGAGAUGUAGUGAGGUAAACACGAUGACAAGAUCUCCAUGAAACAUGGCCUGUCCUUUAGUAUCUGUACCCUUGCCGUCUAUGUAGAUUCCACGCUCCUCCUGAGGUGGCAUUUGGGUUGGGCAUAUUGGCUGCAUUAAAUUGGAUUUCUUUCCAAGUAUCUAUUCCUUCUAAUCGAGUUUAAAACGAGUUCAUGUAGCAAAACCACUGUUCAACGAUAAAAAAUAUUUUUUUUUAUAAUUUAGAGAUAAAUAAUCUUUCGAUAUUUAGAGAUAAGUAUGCGUACAUAACUAUACCAAUAAAAUGUGUUUAAGUUAGAGGAGAAAUUUAUAGGAUUAAAUUUUGGGCUUUUAUCCAAACUUUAGUAAGUCCAAUAUUCUUGCCCUUAAUCUAAAUUUAUAGGCCCAAUUUGAUUCAAUUUUAAUGUUAUAAUUUUACGACAUGAGUCAUAUGUCAUUGACAUUUGACCAAGAUUCUGAUUUAUUUAAUAUAUGUUAAAUUAUUUAAAAUGAUAAAUAGGUUAACAAAACCAUAUUAAUAGAUUUUGAGUCGAUUCGAUUAAAUAUGUAAUCGAAUUAGAAGCACACUCUGUGUCUUAUCUCCAUAUUCUUCAAUCAAACUAUUAAGUUAAUCGAGUACAUCACACAUCCUUCAGUCUUAGUAAGCAAUCAUCCCACACUUGCUCAUUCCACAAGUCAAUGACCUAACAAAGUCGAGGAAGAUGAUGAUCCAAAUCUUCAACCUAAGAUAAGCUCAGAUGAGUUGAUUGAGUGUGAGAAAUAUUGCAUCCACGUUACAUUCUUGGACAUAAAAUAUGGGCAAGUGUGAGCAAUUUGACUAUGUGUUGAAUAAAAUAGAUUAAUUAAUCGAAUACAAUACAAUCAAUAGAUUACGUGUUCUUUAGAUCAACGUGGACUUCAUUAUUGAUAGCAAACAUAUGGGCUUCGCGAAGAAACCAUUUGCAUUGCAUCGACCGAAACGUCGAUAGCGAGGCAAUCCAAACACCGACAACGUAUAAGACACAGUCCAUCCCAUUUGGACGCAUCUGACGUACACACACACACACACACACACACACAGAGUGAGAGAGAGAGAGAGAGAGAGAGAGGAUAACAGCGCUUAGUUCACCACGCUGCAGACCUUCCUGACCUCCCCGGCGGAGCCAGUGAGGGGGCUGAUGUCGCCCAUCUUCACCAUGGCAGCCGCGAAGUCGGCGAAGAAAGCCGCCUGGUCCUUGCUGUACGCCGCCACCGUGGCGUCGGUAGACCCGCCGUUGAAGAGGAGCUGGUCCGAGUGCAGCAGGCCCUUCUUUCUCAGCAGGUUCUUGUAGUAGUUGUUGUCGAAGGAGCCGGGGGUGACCAGGUCAAGCGGGGCCAGGUUGGUGUCACCGUUGCCGGCGGUCGGAGGGCACCGGCGCUGCCGCAUCCUGGCGAAUCCCGCGUCGAUGUUCGUCUCGUUGUAUAUCCUCCCCCGGAAGGUGGCGCACUGAGCCAGCCCGAUGGUGUGCGAUCCUGAGAGGACGACCAUGUCUUUGAGGCUGAGUCCUUGCCGCGCGAACACGGAGGUGAGCGUGUCGAGGUCGUCGAAGGCUAUUGGCAGGUUUUGCUCUGCCAGAUCUUUGCUGGCGGUGGUGGAGUCUCUUCUUCCGAGCUUCACCUUCCAUGAAGGCCCACCCACCUGUAAUGCACGGUCAAAUUCAUCAUCGCAGAAGCUUUGGAUCUUACGAUAAUCUAUCCAAAUCUUUCUGUUCCGUAAUUUACUUACGUAUACGGAGGAGUCUCGUGCAACGAUGGCAAGGAUAUCAGCACAGGACACGACGCCCGGACACACCUUCUCCACGGCCGACUUUAUGCCGUCGAUCACUUCGUAUCCUCUCGCAGAUCUGAAGUUUUGACGUGCGUUCUUCUCGCUCACGAUGCCCGCCGCAUCGUUCAGCAAGAUGGACGCGUCACAACCCUGACAGAUUUACCAGCAUUCAAACUCAUCCAUCUGCGUGUGUACAUGUAUGUCGACACAGAGACAGAGAGAGAGAGAGGGAGCUGCUGAACCUGAACAAAGCAGUCAUGGAAAUGGAGGCGGAGGAGGGACGCGGCCAUGCGAUGCUCUCGAGCGAUCGCCGUACCGGUGGCUUUCUUGACGGUUGGCAGCACCUGUGGGCAGGUCUUGUCGUAGUAGUUAGGCGAGAGCUGCGCCUCACACAAGGCCAUGAGUGACACGACCAAAGCGGCCACCCAC